CCUACGGGAGGCAGCAGUGGGGAAUUUUGGACAAUGGGCGAAAGCCUGAUCCAGCAAUGCCGCGUGAGUGAAGAAGGCCUUCGGGUUGUAAAGCUCUUUUGUCAGGGAAGAAACGGUGAGGGCUAAUAUCUCUUGCUAAUGACGGUACCUGAAGAAUAAGCACCGGCUAACUACGUGCCAGCAGCCGCGGUAAUACGUAGGGUGCAAGCGUUAAUCGGAAUUACUGGGCGUAAAGCGUGCGCAGGCGGUUUUGUAAGUCUGUCGUGAAAUCCCCGGGCUCAACCUGGGAAUUGCGAUGGAGACUGCAAGGCUAGAAUCUGGCAGAGGGGGGUAGAAUUCCACGUGUAGCAGUGAAAUGCGUAGAGAUGUGGAGGAACACCGAUGGCGAAGGCAGCCCCCUGGGUCAAGAUUGACGCUCAUGCACGAAAGCGUGGGGAGCAAACAGGAUUAGAUACCCUGGUAGUCCACGCCCUAAACGAUGUCUACUAGUUGUCGGGUUUUAAUUAACUUGGUAACGCAGCUAACGCGUGAAGUAGACCGCCUGGGGAUACGGUCGCAAGNUAAACUCAAAUGAGUGAGNGNGAGAGNGCGAGACGACGACGAGGGAGGAGG
rnacentral:rRNA from 1 species